CGUGCGAAAAAAUUUUGAACUUGGCUUUCGGGAGGUUAACUUUUAUUCAGUCAAAAAGUCUCCAAAACGACGAAGGAAGCCGAAGAGUGUGUGCAUGAUAUAUGUUCUUUGUAUGUAUUUGUGUGCUACGCUUAGUUAUAAAUUUUCCAUCCCCACAGGGAAUGGAGUUCAGUCUGAGUCCAGUCAUCAUCAGAGUUCUGUCUGGUGAGAUCUACGAGAGUGUCGAAGACGCCGGGAGUGAAUUUGUGCCUUCCCCGGAACUGCAGCAUCUGUGUCGGACAGCUUCCCGCCAAAAGAAGACGCCGGAAGUGGAUUUGUUCCGUCCCAGGAAUUGCAUCAGCUGCAUCGGAGAGCUUCACGCCAAGGGAACACGCCAGGAGAUUGAGAAGAGUCAGUUGGAAGAUUUGGCGCAUCCCACGGGCCCGAAUCAGACGCAGAGGUCGGUCGUCAAUUGCCGCCUGUGUCUGGACGUUAGAUUGCCAGUCUUACUGGCAAGGAAAAGUGCUUUCCCCGGUCGCAAAUAGCCGGAAGCGUCAGCAGGACAAGGGAAGUAUUCCUCUGACGAUAUAUUCAGGUCGCCAAUUGCCUGAAUCCAGCACAUACGGGUCCCGUGGAGGAGCCAAAGCUCACCUGCCGGUCGUCAAUUGCCGGAUUUACCUGGGAACAUCUUUAUCGCCACCUUUGGUGCGCGGAGAAGUCUGUGGCCUGGUCGUAAAUUGCCAGUGCGCACAGAAACGCUAUCACAUGGUUCCUCAGGUGAGCCAGAUCUCAGACAGAGAGAAUUGAAUCACGCCCACGUAUCCUGCGAGGAGAUAGUGAACUGAGGGAUUCAGCAGGCGAGCCCCUGAACGACGGUGGAGAGUAGAAGAUCCCCGAGGGAGAUCGCAGCAGCAGAAGAACCGCCGUAGAUCGAAGCACCAGCUGGGGAGAAUUCUAUUGUGACUGAGAAGAAGGAUCAAGACCCUGUAGAACUUGAAGGAAGAAUAAAUUAACCCCCUGAGCUAGCCGAGGGAGGGUUUUGAAUCUUAUAUGGCGCCCAACCACCGCUGGAACUCACGCAAGGAAUGGAGUUCAGUCUGAGUCCAGUCAUCAUCAGAGUUCUGUCUGGUGAGAUCUACGAGAGUGUCGAAGACGCCGGGAGUGAAUUUGUGCCUUCCCCGGAACUGCAGCAUCUGUGUCGGACAGCUUCCCGCCAAAAGAAGACGCCGGAAGUGGAUUUGUUCCGUCCCAGGAAUUGCAUCAGCUGCAUCGGAGAGCUUCACGCCAAGGGAACACGCCAGGAGAUUGAGAAGAGUCAGUUGGAAGAUUUGGCGCAUCCCACGGGCCCGAAUCAGACGCAGAGGUCGGUCGUCAAUUGCCGCCUGUGUCUGGACGUUAGAUUGCCAGUCUUACUGGCAAGGAAAAGUGCUUUCCCCGGUCGCAAAUAGCCGGAAGCGUCAGCAGGACAAGGGAAGUAUUCCUCUGACGAUAUAUUCAGGUCGCCAAUUGCCUGAAUCCAGCACAUACGGGUCCCGUGGAGGAGCCAAAGCUCACCUGCCGGUCGUCAAUUGCCGGAUUUACCUGGGAACAUCUUUAUCGCCACCUUUGGUGCGCGGAGAAGUCUGUGGCCUGGUCGUAAAUUGCCAGUGCGCACAGAAACGCUAUCACAUGGUUCCUCAGGUGAGCCAGAUCUCAGACAGAGAGAAUUGAAUCACGCCCACGUAUCCUGCGAGGAGAUAGUGAACUGAGGGAUUCAGCAGGCGAGCCCCUGAACGACGGUGGAGAGUAGAAGAUCCCCGAGGGAGAUCGCAGCAGCAGGAAUUCUAUUGUGACUGAGAAGAAGGAUCAAGACCCUGUAGAACUUGAAGGAAGAAUAAAUUAACCCCCUGAGCUAGCCGAGGGAGGGUUUUGAAUCUUA